UGAAAACACAGAUCUGGUUUAGUGAGUCAGAUCUUGAGAAGUAAGAAUACCAUCAAAAAGAUUGUGUGGAACUAUCUCUCAAUACUUAUUACACUAACAAAGGUACUAAUGUAUGAAGAUAGAUUCAGAAGUUUUGCAUGCAACAUUGAGAGUGUGGGAUUUUUUGGAGUUUGCAAGAGAAAAAGAGUGAAAAUGAAGCCAAUUUCCAGCAAUGAAGAUGAAGAGUUCCAAAGAUGCAACAACAAAACUCAAUAGUCUACAAAGAUGCAACAACAAAACUCACAUACCUUAGUUUAAGGUUGUGUGAGUAAUAUAAAAAGGUUAAAUAAUAUACCUCAAGUACAAAUAAGGUUAAACAUGAUAAAGAAG
rnacentral:sRNA from 1 species